rnacentral:rRNA from 1 species
CACACGACCGUACCGCAAACCGACACUGGUGCGCGAGAUGAGUAUUCUAAGGCGCUUGAGAGAACUCAGGAGAAGGAACUCGGCAAAUUGACACCGUAACUUCGGAAGAAGGUGUGCCUUUAGUAGGUGAAGGGAUUUACUCCUGGAGCCCAAUGAGGUUGCAAAAAAUCGGUGGCUGCGACUGUUUAUUAAAAACACAGCACUCUGCAAACACGAAAGUGGACGUAUAGGGUGUGACGCCUGCCCGGUGCUGGAAGAUUAAAUGAUGGGGUGCAAGCUCUUGAUUGAAGUCCCAGUAAACAGCGGCCGUAACAAUAACGGUCCUAAGGUAGCGAAAUUCCUUGUCGGGUAAGUUCCGACCUGCACGAAUGGCGUAACGAUGGCCACACUGUCUCCUCCUGAGACUCAGCGAAGUUGAAAUGUUUGUGAUGAUGCAAUCUCCCCGCGGAAAGACGGAAAGACCCCAUGAACCUUUACUGUAGCUUUGUAUUGGACUUUGAACAGAUCUGUGUAGGAUAGGUGGGAGGCUUUGAAGCAGGGUCGCUAGAUCUUGUGGAGCCAACGUUGAAAUACCACCCUGGUGUGUUUGAGGUUCUAACCUAGGCCCGUAAUCCGGGUUGGGGACAGUGCAUGGUAGGCAGUUUGACUGGGGCGGUCUCCUCCCAAAGUGUAACGGAGGAGUUCGAAGGUACGCUAGUUACGGUCGGACAUCGUGACGAUAGUGCAAUGGCAUAAGCGUGCUUAACUGCGAGACUGACAAGUCGAGCAGAUGCGAAAGCAGGACAUAGUGAUCCGGUGGUUCUGUAUGGAAGGGCCAUCGCUCAACGGAUAAAAGGUACUCUGGGGAUAACAGGCUGAUACCGCCCAAGAGUUCAUAUCGACGGCGGUGUUUGGCACCUCGAUGUCGGCUCAUCUCAUCCUGGGGCUGUAGCCGGUCCCAAGGGUAUGGCUGUUCGCCAUUUAAAGAGGUACGUGAGCUGGGUUUAAAACGUCGUGAGACAGUUUGGUCCCUAUCUUCCGUGGGCGCUGCAGAUUUGAGGAAGCCUGCUCCUAGUACGAGAGGACCGGAGUGGACGCACCUCUGGUGUAUCGGUUGUCACGCCAGUGGCAUUGCCGAGUAGCUAUGUGCGGAAGAGAUAACCGCUGAAAGCAUCUAAGCGGGAAACUCGUUUCAAGAUGAGAUCUGCCGGGGCCUUGAGCCCCCUGAAGAGUCGUUCAAGACCAGGACGUUGAUAGGUCGGGUGUGGAAGUGCAGUAAUGCGUUAAGCUAACCGAUACUAAUUGCUCGUGCGGCUUGACCCU